UCUUUUUAACUGUUUUCUUUUAUUGAAAAUAGAUUAUCUUCUCAUUCAGUGUGUCCUGGUUAUAGUUUCCCCCGUCUUUCCUUCUCCCAGUUCCUUCCCAUUUCCCCGCCCUCCAUAUCCACUCCCUUUCUGUCUCUCAUUACAAAAGAACGGGCUUCUAAGAAAAAACAACCAAGCAGGACAAAUAAAAUAAAAUAAGAUGAAGCCAAAAACCCUAUCAAAGCUGUACACAGCCAACCAACAGGGGAGUCCCAAGAGCAGGCACGAGAGUCAGAGACCCAGCUGUUCUCACGGUCGGCAAUCUCAUAUAAAUACCAAGCUAAUACGUGGGCACAAGAGCUGGUGCAGACCCAUGUAGGCUCUGUGCUUGCUGCUUCAGUCUCUGUGAGCUCAUAUGCACCUUGCUUAGUAGAUUCAGAGGGCUUCUUCUCCUGGUGUCCUUCAUCCCCUCUGGCUCUUACAAUCUUUCUGCCUCCUCUUCUGCAGGAUUCUCUGAGCUCUGAAUGGAGGGAUUUGAUGGAGACCUCCCACUUAGACUCUCUCUCUCUCCUCUCUCUCUAACAUCAGGCUGUUCAUCUCUGCAAGUGUUUCCAUCUGCACCUGGAGGAAGUCUUUCUGGUGAUGGCUGGAUAAGGCACUGAUCUGAGUAGAGAGAGGGAGCUCGGAAACGGCCAGUUGGAACUGGAGGGCAUCUAGUCAGCAGUGUGGAAGCCCAGUACAUUGGGAAAUUCCCAUGAAUGUGACCCUGAUGAGAACGAGCGAUGAAAGAUAUGGACUCUUAACUGCUCAUGUCUUGUCACCAGGAAAUGUAUGGCUUCCACCUCUAUUACCUUCGUGUGUACUGGACUGCGGGAUUGAGCUGCUUUCGACACAUUUCUAGUUUCGUCAAGUAUUUUACUUAUUGAGGCGUCAAAUUCCCCAGUGGAAAACGGUUCAUGAAAUUCCCGUGAUAUGUUUUGGGGCUCAAGAAAUCGAUUUCCCUAGGUCUUCCAAGGGAAAGGAGCCAUGAUCAACUGUGUGCUGGCAACACAGAAACCGAAUGUGUCUGUCAUUUCCAUAAAGGACACCAAGGGAUCACUGAACAGGGUUUCCUGCCGCUAGUGGGUGACAAGGCGUUCGUUGGUCACAGUCAAGCUAGGUAAAGCACAGCUGUGAAAAAGGUCCACCCAGAGUGAUAAUUUGACAACGAAAGUCACAGUGGAGAAAAAAAUGAGGUGUCUCUUUAUUCUGAAGAUAAUGCAGGGGUCACAGUAAAUAAUAAAGGUAGGAGGAACCCAGCACUUGGGAGGUAGAAGCAGGCAGAUCUCUGAGUUCGAGGCCAGCCUGGUCUACCAGAGCGAGUUCCAGGACAGGCUCCAAAGCUACACAGAAAAACCCUGUCUCGAAAAAGCUCUGCCAUCACGGGACCAGUUGGAAAGGAGUGUGUGGACUUGUGGCCCAGGAUUGUAGCCAUGGCAAGCAGCAUUGCAUGAAUCUCCACUAUAUAUUUUUUAAAAUACAUUCUUUAAAAAGUUCCCGCUUUAAAAAAGGAAAUAUUUGAACUACUUUGUUGCCGCGCACCGCAUCCCCGUGUCUGCGCUCUGUGCACUGGCACCCAGUUCGCGAGCUUCGGGCAAGGGGCUGGAGGUUGAAAUACACAGACACACACAGACAGAGAGACAACGACAUGGGUCAUCCUUGAAUUCCCCAAGAAUGCCCCCUUUAUUGUGUUCAGGGGCAGAUUAUAUAGAGAUAGCCACGCCCCAGCAAAACCCACCAGAAACCACUCUCCUGCCAUCAGGAACUCCUGAAGGUCUCGUGCUCAGAGCAGCUGUAGGCACUCAGAUCAGGGGAAAACAAGUUGUUUACAAGAAAUUCAGGAUCUGGGGUCUCACUGCUCCCAACAUCUCCCCCCCCCUAAAUUUUUAUACUCCCAACACUUUGUGACUUUUUUAAAGAAACUUCUCUGUGUGUGUGUACCUGUGAACAUGCAUAUGGGGUCCAGAAGUCAAGGUCUUCAACCUGAUUUUAGCGAGACGCGGUCUUUCACUAAACCCAACACCUGUCAUUUUUUGCUAGAGCAACUGACUAAUGAGCCCCUGAGAUCUGCCUACCUCCUCCGAGCCUGUGCUGCGGUUAUAGGGUUCUGGCCGAGGGAACUCAGGUACCCCUACUUCCACAGCAAUUGCUUUACCCACCGAGCUGUCCCGCCAGUCCCAACUUGUUCUAAUUGAUUCUUUUCCUUGGGUUCAUUUUGCUGCAUUUAAGCUAUUGGGUUGUUCGCUCCCAUUCCUCUAAGAACUUCCUUGGUUGGCCAACUCUACGCACACUGUUGACUGAAGACUGUCCUUAUUUUAUCCGUAUUAUUCCAUGAAGGGUUGCCCACACAGAAAUACUCCAGACUCAGCAGGAAUCUAGAGGGACCAGAGGAAACCAUGAAAACAGAAGGGGGAUUAUUAUUGAAGAAGAGAAAGGAGGCUGAGGGAGGAGAGUGAGAAGGGAUGGACUGAUCAA